rnacentral:rRNA from 1 species
CAGUAGCCACGGGAAUACGUAGGUGGCAAGCGUUGUCCGGAAUUAUUGGGCGUAAAGCGCGCGCAGGCGGAUCAGUUAGUCUGUCUUAAAAGUUCGGGGCUUAACCCCGUGAGGGGAUGGAAACUGCUGAUCUAGAGUAUCGGAGAGGAAAGUGGAAUUCCUAGUGUAGCGGUGAAAUGCGUAGAUAUUAGGAAGAACACCAGUGGCGAAGGCGACUUUCUGGACGAAAACUGACGCUGAGGCGCGAAAGCCAGGGGAGCGAACGGGAUUAGAUACCCCUGUAGUCCCUGUCUCUUAUACA